CGUGUCGUGAGAUGUGGUUAAGUCCGCAACGAGCGCAACCCUAUGUUAGUUGCCAUCAUUCAGUUGGGCACUCUAGCGAGACUGCCGGUAAUAAACCGGAGGAAGGUGGGGAUGACGUCAAAUCAUCAUGCCCCUUAUGACCUGGGCUACACACGUGCUACAAUGGUUGGUACAACGAGUUGCGAGUCGGUGACGGCGAGCUAAUCUCUUAAAGCCAAUCUCAGUUCGGAUUGUAGGCUGCAACUCGCCUACAUGAAGUCGGAAUCGCUAGUAAUCGCGGAUCAGCACGCCGCGGUGAAUACGUUCCCGGGCCUU
rnacentral:rRNA from 1 species